GCGGGUGUAGCUCAACGGUAGAGCACUUGCCUUCCAAGCAAGAUGUUGGGAGUUCGAAUCUCCUCGCCCGCU
rnacentral:tRNA from 1 species